rnacentral:rRNA from 1 species
AAUUAAAAAAAUUUGGCGGUAUUUUAGUCUUUUUAGAGGAACCUGUCCUAUAAUUGAUAUUCCACGAUUAAUUAUACUUAUUUUAAAGGUUUAUAUAUCGUCGUAGAUUGAAUGUUUUAAAAGAAUUUUAAAUGUUCAAGAUUUAUUAUAUAAAGAAAAAUCAGAUCAAGGUGUAGCGUAUAAAUAAGGAGAGGUGGGUUACAAUAAAUUUAUUUUGAUGGUUAAAGUAAUUAAAAUUAUUUUAUAAAUUGGAUUUGAAAGUAAUAUAAUUUAGUUAAAUUAUAUGAUUAUAGCUCUAGAAUAUGUACAUAUCGCCCGUCGCUCCCAUUUGAAGGUGGGAUAAGUCGUAACAAAGUAGGUGUACUGGAAAGUGUACCUAGAAUGUCAAAUUAGAGCUUGUUAUAAAGUGUUUUAGUUACAUUAAAAAGUUAGUUGUGUGAAUCAAUUUAAUUUGAUUAAUUAAAUAAUUAUAAUUUAAAUUUAAAAAAAAAAUUUUUUUGAUUUAGUAUUUUAUUAGAAUAAUUUUGUAAUAAUGAUAGUUUAUUUGUAUAGAGUUAGAUUUUGAAAUAUAUUGAUAUUUUAUUAUGUAAAAAAAGAAUUAAAUUUUUGUACCUUGUGUAUCAGGGUUUAUUAAAAAUAGUUUAAAUAUUUAGUAUUCUCGAAUUAAAAAGAGCUAAUAAUUUAUAUAUUUAAUUGUAAAAUAAAUUUUUAUAAUAAGUUAUUAGAAAUGAAACGUUAGUCGUUUUUUAAGAUAUCUAGUUUUUUAAGAAAUAAAUUUAAUUUAGUUAUUUAAAGAUAUAAUGUUAAUUGAUUAGUAUUAUAUUUUAAAUAAUAAAAAUUUUAAGGGAUAAGCUUUGAAAUUUAAAGUUAAAAAUUAUAUUUAUAUUAAAAUAAAUAGAAUUAGAAGUUUUUAUUGUUUAAUAUGUUAUAAUAAAUUUUUGUGUUAAUAUAAUUUAUAUAGAUUUUAAUUUUUUUAUUAAAAUAAUUUAUUUAAUUUUAUUAUAUAUGUAAUAAUGAUGAAAUUAGUAUAAUUUAAUUUAUUUUUAAGUUAUUAUUUAAAGGUUAGGUUAAGGAAUUCGGCAAAAUAAUUUUUCGCCUGUUUAUUAAAAACAUGUCUUUUUGAUUAUAAUUUAAAGUCUAAUCUGCCCACUGAUUAUUUAAAUGGCCGCGGUAUUUUGACUGUGCAAAGGUAGCAUAAUAAUUAGUUUUUUAAUUGAAAGCUGGAAUGAAUGAUUGGACGAGAGAAUUUCUGUCUCAAUUUAAUUUAAUUAGAAUUUUAUUUUUAAGUUAAAAAGCUUAAGUAUAAUUAAAAGACGAGAAGACCCUAUAGAGUUUUAUUAUUUUUUUUUAUAUUAAGAAUAUAGAAUUAUUUUUUUGUUAUAAUUGAAAUAAUUAAGUUGGGGUGACUAAAAAAUUAAAAGAACUUUUUUAUAUUUAA